CUCUACUUUGAGUAAUGAAAUGACUGUUUGAUUUAAAAAAAAACAUAUGCAUUCUGAACUGCUCAAAGGUUAUUAUAUAUAUAAUUUAAUAGUUACAUUUUAGUUCGUUCAUUCAAGAUGAAAAACUCAGAUCUUAGAUUUUGGUGGUGCUGGUGGUGCCCAAGGGCUUUCUUUCCUGCUAGGUCCCAUCGGUGGAAUAGGAAAAUUCUUAGGUAACAUUCCAAAAACGAGACGUUGUGAUGGUGACCAAAAAUUCAUAUUAUCCCUGGUUGGAAUCACCGGAGGUUCUUUGGGACUAGGUCCAGAGGGUGGGAUUGGCCGUCCUGUGUAUCGUGAUGGAUCAUCUGACCUUAUAAGCGAAUUUUCCAAGUUUGUCUCAGUGGCUUCAAGAAAACCAGCGAAGAGGAGAACACAGAUAGUUACUACAGGAAACAAAUUUGAUUUCGUCAUUUGAUAAUAUACUUUUGAUAAUGUAAAAUCUAGUGAUCAAGUUUAAUCCGGCUUUAUAGUACUGCUGAGAAAAACUAUCUUAUAUAAAGAAUAAUAUUUUCAAAAACAAGUAUGGUAAUUUACUAAUACCAUGACUCAGUAUGGUGUUGGAAAACGUUGACCCAAAUAUUAGUCUGGUUGUAAUAUCUUUUUUUUUUUGAAUAAAUCUACUUUAAUUUUUGUAAAAGGAAAUAUAAUUUUGUUCUAGUCAACAUGUUUGACUGAACCUUUUUAUAGUCAACAUGUUUGACUGAACCUUUUUAUAAUCAAUACUAUUAAAAGGGAUGGAGUUUUAAAAAAUCCACUUAUGCAAAGUUGUUGGAUCUAUUCAUUAACUAUUUGUUAUUUUUUGAUAUUUCCUUUAUUUUCUCUAACUAUACCAUAGUCUAAAUAAUUUAUUCUUUAUUAUGCUGAGAUUUGUCCUUAUUAUUCUGAGAUUUUGUAUGUAUUUUUUAUCAACCUGAGAUUUUCGUAUGUUUGGUUGGUUUAUAUGCCUUUCACCAAGUGUAAUAUUUACUAUUUUUUUUAAAAAAUAAAAUAUUUACCGCUUUUUGCCUUUUUAUUUAUUUUAAAAUACCACAAGAAAAUGGCUAACCAAAUAAAUUUACCUUAUAAACUGAAACAUGUGUUCGUACUACAAUCUACACGUGCAAAUUAACACGUUCGACUAACAUAUGAUUCUGGUUAAAUCACAAUCACGAUAUUUUGUGUAUGUUCCCGCGAUGAGCAAUAAUUUCGUAUUUCAUCAGUUUCAUUUGUAACAAAUAUUAUAAUUUGCUUCUUCAGUAUAAAAUCUUCUCACUAACAUUAAAAAUAAUAAUAAUUUGAACUAUAAAAACAUGUAAAAUCUGUACGUCAACAUAUAAAUCUUUUGGGCAUGUGAAUUUAAGGAUGUAGGUGGUUCCAGUUUCAAAAAUUAUUAGUCGACGAUUGGUGAGACUUGAGAUUACUUGGUUUAUCGGUUCAACUUCUGGUAAUCAUUUUAAAUAUAUAGUAAUAGAAAAUAAAAAAAUAAUUAUUAUAAAAUAUUUUUAUUUAAUAUAGGUUUAAGAACUAUAUUAAAAACCCUAUAAAUCUGUACUAUUAAAUUAGCCAAAAAUACGUAAAUUAAUCUCAGCUCUCACCAGUUUAACAAAUGUAAUUAUUAUAAAUGCACACAAAUAAUAAUGAGAAAUACAAUAAGCAUGGCCAUAGAAUCUUCGGGUUGGUACAGAUCGGUUCAUUUCGGAUUCUAGAUAUUUGGACUUAAUUAGGUAUUUGAAAUUCUUUUGUUUGGGUUUAGGUUGGUCUUUUUUAUAGAUUUAUAUCCAUAAUUCAAAUACCUAUAAAAUAUCUGUAAUUUGAAUACAUAAUAGGUCUGGAUCAGUUCGAAUAUUUAAGACUCGAAAAAGAUUUAAAAUACCCAAAAAAUUGAAAAUUACUCGAAAACCCGAAAAAUACCUUACACAAAAACAUACCCGAAAACUCAAAUGAUUACCCAAAAAUAUUUCUAUCACACACUUCGUAAUAUAAUAAUGUACAAUAAUCACAAAAUAUUAUUCCUAUCAAAAUUUAUAUAUAAUCCAAAAUAACCCGCGCUUUUGAAGCGCGGGUCAAAAUCUAGUGACAUAUUUAAAGCAUAUGGACUAGGGGUGUUCAAAAUUCAGACUUUGUUCUCGUAUAGUUUGUUCUUUUUGGUUUUGGGUUAUAAAUAUAUAAAACUUACUAUUGGUUUUAUUUUUAUAUAUUGAUGAGGUAUAUAAGUGUUUCUUAUGGGUGUUGCUGGCAUCAUGGAUUUAAUACAAAUGAAGUUUGUUGGCUAUCUAUUUUAGAAUAUUAAGGAGGAAGUAAAACAAAAUUCAGUGAAGUACUAAGGAUAAAAAAAGGAUAAUCUUACGCGCUUAAGUACAACAACGAUAUAGAGAAAAUAAUGAGCCGAAACCACUGGUUAUAUAGACAACAAUGAUAGACCAUAUAUUUUACCCAUUUUUAAUUAUGGUCUAUAAGUGUUUUAAAGUGUUUUAAGAUAUAAUUAUUAUGUUUUGGAGUCUAUUUAGAGUAUUUAUAGAUUCAGGGACGUUUAGGAGAAAUAUGGUGAUUUUAGAGUCUUUUGGAGCCUUUGGAGGUGUAGAAUUGCACAGACGCGUCAGAUGUUUAGCUAUGGAUGGAGACCUUCCGACCGUUAGAUUGAGUUUUGACACAAGAUAGAUCUUUGAGUUAGCUUUCCAAUGCCACCGGUCUCAGGUCAAUCAGCAUCCUGUAGCAGAAGUUAUGCCCGUUUUACUGAAGAGUGGUCAGUCUGCCUCGCGAGAGGAAGCUGCCGAGAAGAGAAAGCCGCGUCGAUCGAUGCAGCACUCUGCACAUCGAUCGAUGGAGAUCCAGAUUGUGGGCCUUGUAUAUUUUAUGACUGCGUGAAGCCCUAGAUGCCACAAAUUACCAGAAUGCCCUUGGACGACCAGAAACCAUAUUUAUGUUAUUUUUAAGCCAUUGUUGACGGCUACCACUUCUACACGCUUUACAGACUUCUUUACGCUUUCAUUUCCAUUGUUUCUCUGAGAGGAUAGAAGGGAGAAACUCCUAUCAGAGUCCUCCUGGAACUCCAUUGAUUUUCUUAUCUAUUCCAUUUUCAGUUUUACAUCUAUUUCAUCUAUGAUUUCUGUGACAAACUUCAUGUCUGAAUAGAUCCACAUGUUAGGUUUAGGGUUCAGAUAGGUUUGUGGGAUUAGCCCCAAACUAUAGAUCUGCCUUGUUGUGAUAUUCAUGAUAGAUUUGUAUUCAUUGCUUGUUUUAGAGUAAUUAACUAGAACUUGAUCAUAGGAUUGCAUACUCAAGCACCCUUGUUAUCCCAUCCUGACAUCUAUCUAUCAUAUUAGGACUGCUAGAGAGGGCUAACCGCCAAUUUAUUAUCUUAAUAGGGCAUUUCAUACUCGCGCAUAGGCCUGGCUAGAACCCGUCGAUCGAUUUCCUCAACUGACAAUCGAUCGACGUUGGCAAAGGUGUAUCGGUCGACGUCUUAAUAGACCAUCGAUCGACACUCUCUCGUUGUCGGCAUACUAACCGUUGGGACACGAGAUCUAGCUUGUUAACCAGUGGUACAUGCGACAGCUGAUCACUGAGUUAAGCGAAUGAGCUCUAACAUAUCAUGCAUGCAACAAUUAGGCAUCUAUAGAUAUUAUAAUCUCCAACACCUGAAUAGAAACCCUAGAUCUAGCAACCAUCCUUCCAUCGAACUACUCCUUGCCAAGCUGAACAAUUACCUUGUUCAUCUUGUUUAUUGCUUUAUUUAUUACUUGCUUUAUUUACUGAUUUAAAACCUAUUAGCCUAGUUUAAUCAUAUAACUAUUAGAUCUAAUCGGUUCCCUAGCUCCUUGUGGAUUCGAUCCCUAAGUACUAUAACUCGACAUUUUUUGAUGAGACUAACACUCUUUAGGGUAAUUUGAGUGAUAUCAAAUUUGGCGCCGUUGCCGGGGAGCUUUGAUCGCCAUUAGAUCUUGUUUAAUUAGAUUUAGUCUAGGCUUUGUUACUGUUCGAAAAAACUCAUAAAAUUUUUUUUCUUCUAUUUCAGGUACAUACAUAACAGUACCAGAGCAAUGAAGAGAAGAUUUCUAGAUCAUUCAAGGAAGGAGCCUGCUGGUUUAUGCACGAUCCGUAAGUCUAAGAGGGAAUUAUCGAUCGACACCCUCCAAGCAGCAUUGAUCGAUAGCGUGAGCCAAGCAUCGAACGACACUAUUCAUCAUGUGUCGGAAAAUAAUAUUCAUCGCUGUACUAUUCAUACAGGUACUGUUCAUCAUAAUACUAUUCAUCGCGGUACUAUUUAUCACGACACUAUUUACCUCCCGUCGAUCGACACUGUUCAUCCCGUGUCGGUCGACACUAUUCAUAUCCCGUCGAUCGACACUGUUCAUCCUGCGGCGAUCGACACUGUUCAUCCCGUGUCGGUCGACAGUAUUCAUGUCCCAUCGAUCGACACUGUUCAUCCCGUGUCGGUCGACACUAUUCUUCUUCCGUCGAUCGACACUGUUCAUAUUCCGUCGCUCGACACUGUUCACCCGAACACUGUUCAUCGCGACACUGUUCAUCCGAACACUGUUCAUCGAAACAAUAUUCAUCGCGGCACUGUUCCUCCAAUGACGAACACCACUUACGGAGAGACAGAGAAGGUCGAAGCGCUCAUACUUAAGAUCGACAAGAAAGGUAUUUGGCGAGACGAAGAAGGCCGCCCUUGCAGCCUCACAGGACAAUUGAUUAAUGCAGAGGGUAGUGUAAUCCCUGAUGUAAUUGAUGUGGCUGAGACGAAAACCUUUAAUUUGACAAGUCAAUGGUAUGAUUGGGGAAGUGAGGAUCCAUUUUACGGUCUUCCUCAUGAGGAUCCCAAAGAUCUUAUCAAGAGACUUGAGGAGUUAACCUCAGCAAACAAGCACGAUGAAAUAUCUGCAGACCACAUUAUCUGCAAGAUCUUCCCCUAUUGUUUAUCUUGAGAUGCUUUUAGCUGGUUCAGUAAGCUGCAACCAAGAUCUCUAACCUGCUGGGAAGACAUCAAAGAAGCCUUCAUAGACAAAUUUUUCAGCGAGGCUGUAGAAACUCGAAGUAAAAGGCUUGAUUACAUGAUUAAAGAACGGGAGAAAGGAAUGUUGGGGUCAAAAACGGUUACGACGGAAUUACCACCCGAAAAUCCUCAGAGAUCGUAUUUCCGAAAGAGUUAGUAAAAGAAGGGAUGUAAUUUUCGUAAAAAUAACCUAUACGAGGUUAUUUUUACGAAGAAGUAUUCUUUGGGAUUCAAACCGAACGAUCGUCCCGCUCGGUUGCUACGUAGCGACCGAGCUCGGGCCAAAGCUCGGUCGCUACGUAGCGACCGAGUGAUCGUCCCGCUCGGUCGCUACGUAGCGACCGAGCUCAGCCAAGCUCGGUCGCUACGUAGCGACCGAGCGAUCGUCCCGCUCGGUCGCUACGUAGCGACCGAGCUCGAGCCAAAGCUCGGUCGCUACGUAGCGACCGAGCGAUCGUCCCGCUCGGUCGCUACAUAGCGACCGAGCUCAGCCAAGCUCGGUCGCUACGUAGGACCGAGCGAUCGUCCCGCUCGGUCGCUACGUAGCGACCGAGCUCGAGCCAAAGCUCGAUCGCUCGGUCGCUACAUAGCGACCGAGCUCGAGCCAAAGCUCGGUCGCUACGUAGACCGAGCGAUCGUCCCGCUCGGUCGCUACGUAGCGACCGAGCUCAAGCCGAAGCUCGGUCGCUACGUAGCGACCGAGCACUCGUUUCGCUCGGUCGCUACAUAGCGACCGGGCUCGAGCCAAAGUUCGGUCGCUGUGUAGCGAUUGAACCUUUCCGAACAUCGAUACGACACCAGUCCUUGCAUUCUCGUCAAACCUUCGAAUGCUAUCUCCCGAAGACCGUAGCAAGCUCAGUCCAUGUUUCCCGCUAUUCUAAUUCAUCGAUCAAACUUCGCGGAUUAGAAACCGCGGAAAACUCGUAGUAAACGUGUCGAGUCGGAAGACGGCCCAAAGGGACCUAAAACACGACUCGAGGCCCAUCCUACGAUUUUUCUUAACCAAAAGCCCGUGAACCACAGCAUGGUUCGCGCUUGGCCCACGAGGAAGGAUAAAUGUCAAGUUUCCGCGGAUAAAUACGGAAGUUUUGAAGAUAAUUGUGAAGAUCGGGAAAAAUGGAAUAUCUCCAUUUUUAUGCUAUGACGGCUUAAGGGCAGAAGAGUAAAAGCGUAAACCGACCUUGGAGCUAGUAUAUAAGGAGUCCUAGGCGAGGAGCAGAGAGAGGAACUUUUUCAGAGCAAACUUAGCACUUAGAGCGAUUUAGGCAACUUUCCGUUUUUGUUAUUUCGAGCUGCGACUCAAUUAGGUUUAGCCGUCUUAGGGUUGCUAGAACUAGGAAUCUCGCCGACAGCUCUCGAGCCCAGGCUUAUACCUUGUUGUAACGCUCAUACGCAGAUUCGGAAUAAGAUCUACUUUGCUCUCUUUUCGAUUUCUUAUUUUUAUCGUUGUUAUUCUCGUGUUCUGAUUGCUUGACGUGUGGUAAUUAACAGAUAUCCGGGUCCUCUGGGAAACUAGGGUUUUCUUAGUUUCCUUAUUUAAACGGAAAUCGACAGUGCGAAUUUCGGUUCCCACAGUUUGGCGCUAGAAGGAGGGGGCCUUACGGAUCAAUCUAACCCGCAAAAGCCACACACAGUCAGACAUGUCAACCAACGACGCGGAUAACGUGCAAACUCCCCUUAACGGAGGCAGCGGCACCGAUCUCCACACUCCGGUAGCGGACGUAUCUGCGGCCAACGCGCAAGCCAACGCCGCGACUCUCGAGGAGUUUAAAAAGAUGUUCGCCACCUAUGAAAAAAGGUCGGAAGAACAGGAUAAGCUCGUGAAUACCUUGACCAAACAGGUUGAAACCUUAACGGCAAGGACCCAAGCUAUCCGUCCCCGCGGAACCACCAAAAUCCGCGGGAAGAGGCUCGAUUUCGCCACCCCACUCGAUAGAGCAGGAGCCGCGCGGGAACGACCUUCCGGUCAAAACCCCAGCGAGAAGUCUCCCAUCGAGAAGGGGAACUCUGAAAGUCUUCCGCUCCCUGCAAAGGACUCGGAGGAUAACGAAGCCGAACACAUUGACCUGGAUCCUAGCGAUGUCUCCAACGACACCGACGAGGAUGUCGACAGACAUCCAAGAAGGACCAGAAGCCGAUCCGCUCGGGAAGGCUCCCCGUUCGAAAAACCAAUGACGGAAGAAGAAGAAGUCGCCUAUUGGAACGAACAAGAGGAGCUGGCCGAAAGGCAAACCGAGCUCACUCGCAGUAAGCGCCGACAGGCUCGGAAAUCCACUGACGAGACAUCGGAUAUCCGCGAUCUUCGCGACUACAUCACCAAGACUGCGGCAGAAGUGAGAGCCGUAAAGUCUCAAAUCCAUCAUGCUACUAGUGCUGCCCCCGAGAUCGAUCGACUGCUGGAAGGAGCUCGAAAGACCCCCUUUACCAGUCGCAUUUCGGACAUGAGGGUGUCCGAUCCGGGAAAGAUCAAAGUACCGAAGUACGAUGGUACGGCCGAUCCGAAAGCGCACCUUCAGGCUUUCCACAUCGCGAUGGGAAGAGCAAGACUGAAGGACGGCGAAAAGGAUGCCGGCUAUUGCCGCCUGUUCGUCGAAAAUCUUGAAGGAGCAGCGCUCGAAUGGUUCGCACGCCUUCGUCGCAACACCAUCGGGAGUUUUCGACAGCUCGCAUCGGAAUUCCUCAAACAGUACUCUGUAUUCAUAGACAGGGAAACCUCCGAUGUUGAUCUCUGGAGUCUCUCCCAGAGGGAAGACGAACCCCUCCGCGAGUUUAUCAGUCGGUUCAAACUGAUAAUGUCCAGGGUCAGCGGGAUAAGCGACAAAGUGGCCAUCGACGCGCUGAGAAAGACGCUCUGGUACAAGUCGAAAUUCAGAAAAUGGAUAACUCUCGACAAACCGCGAACGAUCCAGGACGCCCUCCACAAAGCAACGGACUAUAUCAUAGUGGAGGAAGAAACUAAAGUCUUAUCGCAAAAACAUAAGCCGGCAAGACCAUCCUCGAAAGACGCAGAUCCGAAGGGGAAAAAGAAGAACUCUCGUAACGACAAGUACGUCCAUCACGAGGGGGAAGAUCUCCAAGGAGCGCAUAACUAUGCGAUCAAUUCGGAUCAAGGCCGGACCACGGGCAACACAUGGACUCGCAAUCAAGGGUAUGACGAGAACACCUUCUGCGAGUUCCACCAAUCCCGAGGACACUCCACGACUAAUUGCAAAGUCUUAGGAGCAAGACUGGCCGCGAAGCUGCUCGCUGGAGAGCUUUCGGAAGUAACUAGCGUCAAGGAUCUCAUCCUCGAUUCUGAUCGGCCUCCAAAGACGGACAGAAAUCCGCCCGCCGAAAAAUCUCCUCAACGAAACCAACCUGGGGAUAAACGCGGUAGGAGGCCGGAUGACAAAGGGAACGAUAACAAUCGUCGCAGAGUCAAUAUGAUCAUCGGAGGAUCUCAAUACUGCGGCGAUACCGUGUCAGCCAUCAAGGCUUACCAACGGAAGGCAGAAUCAAGCGCAAAUUGGCCUACAUGGUCUCCUCCUCGAGACGGCCAAAGUUGCUCGAUCACCUUCACGGAGGAAGAAGCCGGCGGUAUCGACCAACCUCACUGCGACCCGCUCGUCAUAGAUCUCGUCAUACGAGAUUUAGAAGUCGGAAGGGUACUCGUCGAUACGGGAAGCACGGUCAACGUAAUCUUCCGCGACACUCUCAAGCGGAUGAGUAUCGAACUCGGAGAGGUAAUUCCGACGCCAAAACCACUCACGGGUUUUUCAGGCGAAGUGUCGAUGACUCUCGGAUCAAUCCAAUUGCCAGUCAUGGCCAAGGAGAUCACGAAAAUCGUCGAAUUCGCGGUAGUCGACCAUCCCGCUAUCUACAACGUGAUCAUGGGAACCCCAUGGCUCAACGCCAUGCAGGCAGUUCCGUCAACUUACCACCUGGGUCUCAAGUUCCCAACGCCGAGCGGAGUCGCGGCCAUCUGGGGAUGCCAAAAACAGUCGCGACUAUGCUUCCUCGCGGAGCAUAAGUUAAGGCAAAUCACGGCUUCUGCAAACGGCAAACGCGCGAAGAUAGAUCGAUCUUCGGCCAAAAGCGCCCCGCACAAGGACGAAGUAAAAUCGUCUGUCAACGCAAACGCAUCGGACGUCGAAGCUCGACAUAAAUCCGAAGCCCACGCGACAACUCAACCGGAACAUCCGGAAAAUAGCGUCGACCCAGCCACGAUCGACACGGUCAAGGCGGACAUCGCGACACCAACCGCCGAGUAAGAACACUCGCGGCAUGAAACAGAACUACGAGAUGGCUUGAUCCUCGAAAGGGGUACGUAGGCAGCUUGUCAAAAGACGAGUUCAGCUAUCCCCCUCUCUAAAAAGGGGGGGGGGGAGUGGGUGCGUAUACUCGUAUACUCCCACAAUCGCCAUUAUUGUAAUCGAGUUUUUAGAAACAUAAAAUUUUUUACAAUAUACACUGUCUUUUUAUCGAAAACGCUUACGCUUCAGUUUACGCUCGUCUGCGGCCUCAUCCGGCCCAAAAAUCGUAAAGAUUAUCACCUUUCAAACACGCAAAAAUACACGCAUAAUCCUCGAAAAUAACUGCGAGACGUCGCAAAAAGUUAAAAUUCGAGGACAAUGCUAAACAAAUUGUCCGAACGCGACCACCAAAAACCUUACACCCCGUUCGUCGAUUGGCCCCGACGAACACGCCAGCCGUCUUAAACAAACGCAAUCCGAUCACUCUUUUGAUCUUUAAAAACGUCCAGCACAAGGACAAAAGCGCGCUACAACAAAAAUCCGAAAUUUUGGUUUAGCACUUCCAGUUGAUUCUGAGAAGAUGCUCGAUUCGUACCAUACAAGUCAUAUAAGCCGAGAACAUAUCGCGGACUUUAAACCGGUGCGAGUCAGGAAGAAAUCGCAACAGGAAAAACGAUAGCCGGCUAGUCACCGCACAAACCUUAACCGAAAGUAAACCUAGGUCUUGCCCUAAACCCAACGCUCUGGUCUCAAACAUCUCAAGGCAUGAUAUCUAAAAGAUACGAGAUCAUAAACCAUGCCUCUCCGUUCGUAUCUCAAUGUUCUCGAAAAUCGUAAAGACAGAUAAAUUUUUACGAAAAUCACGAACGAACCAACAGAUUGAACGUCUAAUUAGAACUACAUACGAGACGACAACUCGUAUUUACUUCAACCCUACUCAGGAAAAACUCGAAACAAAACAUUUAUCAUAUAAAUAAACCGCGUAAAGCGGCAAGGGAUUCAAAGCCACCAACGGCCAGUCCCGGAAAUACAAAUACGGCCAUCUUGGCCUAAACGAAAUCCAAAUUCAAAGGGCCACAUUCGGCCGAAAACAAGGAUAACUGAUCCAUCCCUCAUAAUCCAAAGUCAAAGUCCCCGGACAACGAAGCACCAAACGCAUCCGCAGGACGAUCCACUUCCUCGCCACCAUCGUGAAAAUCGAUCGGGACCUCCUCGGUAUCAGGAGAAACCGGGAUGGAAUCCCAGAACCCUUGAAUCCUCUCGUCGAUCGGAGGGAUAAGCGCCUCAGCGUGGGCACGGUCACUCAUCCCACUCUUCAUCAAGCUCAUUUCCUCUUCAAACACAUAGUCGUCGGCUUGCGUCCUCCAAAGACUUCCGACCGAACCACGGCACUCGCGAAAGUCGCCCACCGAGGUAAAGGCAUUCUUAAGGUUCCCGUACUCAACCUGGAACUGAGAUGCGCGAGUCUUCAUCACCUCGACGAUUUCUCUUUUGCCUUUCCUCUCCGCUCUACGAACAGCCCGCGCAUGAUCACGAGUAAGCUGUGCCUCUCGCUCCAGCAUCUCGCCUUGCACGCGAGCGAGAUCCCGCUCCGCUUUCUCCGCCUUGAAGCGGUAGACCAUGGCUUCUCUAUGACCCGCCUCGAUGGCCGAGCCCAGCAAGCUCAGGCCCUGCAAAAUCGAUGGCGUGUUACAAAUCCAUACAUAGGAUAAUCACUAAAAAAUUCCCAAAAAAAAACUAACCCCAUUGAUGAUGCGAGAUCCUUCCGCAACGACUCUCGGCCUCGCCGAUUCUUUCGUAGGAGGAGGAGCAUCGAAACCCGAUGGCAGCCCAGCAAAGAAAUCAUCGAAGUCCGGAAUGGGGGCCUCGCUCGAACCGCUUCCGUCGCCGUAAGCAAGGUUCGGAUCCCAUCCUGGAAGCAUAGAGUCGUCCAUCGAAAACUCUAUGUCGCCAAGAUCGACAUCUUUUCCCUUCCAAGAGCUCGACUCCGGCGCAGCUGUCGGAGCUUCGACGGGAUUCUGGUCGUCGGGUUCGGAGUCGCUUCCCGUAUCCGCGUCCAAAGCUGGACCAGGUUGCACAAAUUUCAGUGCCUUCCGAACCCUUCUCGGCGUGAAAGAAGUCCAGAAGAAGGGACCAUUCCUGAGAAGAUCCCUCACCGCGAUAAUGUCCUCAGGGAACGGAGCAAGAGGAUUGAUGAAGGGACGAUUGUUCGGCAACCUCCGGAACAGUGGAAUGCAACUCUCUUCGACGGACGCAGCGUCCAAACGAACAAAGAAAAAGAACUUCUUCCACGAGUUGAAGUUCGAAAUGAACUUCUUAACCACCGACAUAAAUUUCCGAGGGACAAACCUAUGCUUAUCCGUAUCCUUGACAAGUUGAAGCCUCAAAAGCGCUUCAUAAUGAUCGACGGAAAGGGAAAGGCCAUGCUCAUAGCUUAGGAUCAAGAUCCCAAUAAGGUGCUGAAUGGCAAGGGGUGUCAACUGACUUAUCGCGACUUCGAAGCGGUCCAACACUCGGACGAGAAUUUCGGGUAUGGGGAACCAGAGGCGACAACGCACUAUGAACGCCUCAUAACAAGUAAAGUAACCCUCCGGGGGGUUGUUAGCACAUUCCCCGCGGCAGGGAACCCGGAACUCCACAACAUCCGGGAUGUGGUAGAACGACCGCAUCGUCGCGAGAAACUCGUCAGUAGUCCUGCUUGCGUCCUCUUCCUCGACUCCACGAUGAACCAGGACCGGGAAUGGCUUCUCCUUGGGAGGGAUCAACGAGCCAUAAUGAGCAACCCACCAUGCCUCGUUCUCGGCAGGAUGCACCGAGUGAGGCACGAACUCCAUCUUCGUGCUCGACAUCUUUACACUCCUCUUAAGAGAAUAGAGGAAAAGGGUGGAGAGAAAGAUAGAAAGUUUUUUGGAAGAUCUUAGAGAAAAACAAGAAAGUAAAAAAAUUAUGGAACAAGUUACCUCUCUUCUUAUAAGACAUGAGGAUUUACUAUUCAAGCUCGGACUUUCGCAUAUUAAUUCCAUCCAUCACGCCUAACUUGCCAAACAUGCCUAACCGCACGCUAGGAUCCCCCCAUGCAUGAUCCUAACGGGCUGGGGGGCUAACUGUUGGGGUCAAAAACGGUUACGACGGAAUUACCACCCGAAAAUCCUCAGAGAUCGUAUUUCCGAAAGAGUUAGUAAAAGAAGGGAUGUAAUUUUCGUAAAAAUAACCUAUACGAGGUUAUUUUUACGAAGAAGUAUUCUUUGGGAUUCAAACCGAACGAUCGUCCCGCUCGGUCGCUACGUAGCGACCGAGCUCGGGCCAAAGCUCGGUCGCUACGUAGCGACCGAGUGAUCGUCCCGCUCGGUCGCUACGUAGCGACCGAGCUCAGCCAAGCUCGGUCGCUACGUAGCGACCGAGCGAUCGUCCCGCUCGGUCGCUACGUAGCGACCGAGCUCGAGCCAAGCUCGGUCGCUACGUAGCGACCGAGCGAUCGUCCCGCUCGGUCGCUACGUAGCGACCGAGCUCGAGCCAAAGUAGCGACCGAGCGAUCGUCCCGCUCGGUCGCUACGUAGCGACCGAGCUCGAGCCAAAGCUCGGUCGCUACGUAGCGACCGAGCGAUCGUCCCGCUCGGUCGCUACGUAGCGACCGAGCUCAAGCCGAAGCUCGGUCGCUACGUAGCGACCGAGCACUCGUUUCGCUCGGUCGCUACAUAGCGACCGGGCUCGAGCCAAAGUUCGGUCGCUGUGUAGCGAUUGAACCUUUCCGAACAUCGAUACGACACCAGUCCUUGCAUUCUCGUCAAACCUUCGAAUGCUAUCUCCCGAAGACCGUAGCAAGCUCAGUCUAUGUUUCCCGCUAUUCUAAUUCAUCGAUCAAACUUCGCGGAUUAGAAACCGCGGAAAACUCGUAGUAAACGUGUCGAGUCGGAAGACGGCCCAAAGGGACCUAAAACACGACUCGAGGCCCAUCCUACGAUUUUUCCUAACCAAAACCCGUGAACCACAGCAUGGUUCGCGUUUGGCCCGCGAGGAAGGAUAAAUGUCAAGUUUCCGCGGAUAAAUACGGAAGUUUUGAAGAUAAUUGUGAAGAUCGGGAAAAAUGGAAUAUCUCCAUUUUUAUGCUAUGACGGCUUAAGGGCAGAAGAGUAAAAGCGUAAACCGACCUUGGAGCUAGUAUAUAAGGAGUCCUAGGCGAGGAGCAGAGAGAGGAACUUUUUCAGAGCAAACUUAGCACUUAGAGCGAUUUAGGCAACUUUCCGUUUUUGUUAUUUCGAGCUGCGACUCAAUUAGGUUUAGCCGUCUUAGGGUUGCUAGAACUAGGAAUCUCGCCGACAGCUCUCGAGCCCAGGCUUAUACCUUGUUGUAACGCUCAUACGCAGAUUCGGAAUAAGAUCUACUUUGCUCUCUUUUCGAUUUCUUAUUUUUAUCGUUGUUAUUCUCGUGUUCUGAUUGCUUGACGUGUGGUAAUUAACAGAUAUCCGGGUCCUCUGGGAAACUAGGGUUUUCUUAGUUUCCUUAUUUAAACGGAAAUCGACAGUGCGAAUUUCGGUUCCCACAGGAAUAAUGAUUAGUAUGAGUCAGUUUCUUGAUUUCAUCUACAGCGAGGAGAAUGGAGAUAUUGGAACCCGACAACUCAUGUCAAGCAGCCAGACAUUCAGGUUCACCAUGCAGAUGAGAGUAAGCCGAAGGACGAACUAAACAGAGAAAAGCUGGUCAACCAUGAUACAGUUAAGGAUGAUGAAUAUCAGUAUCAGGAGAGCAGAGCAAAGUAGAAGAAGUUGAUAUAAAAGAUCCGACUUCAGCAUCGAUCGACAGUAGUAACUCAGAAUCGAUCGAUUCCGCACUUCAGAAACGAUCGAUACAAAUAUUUGUCAUCGACCGAUACCUUCUACAAUCCCUGAUGCUACCACUGUGUAUGUUAGGACUGGACGACCAAAGGCAAUUAGUGACUAUAACAGUCCUGAGGACGCCUAUGCUAAAAGGUCUGCAUCGUGUCGUUCAGCACUUCAGAAUACUGUCCUUGAGCUGCACCCUAUAUCUCUCUUGUGGGUCAGUAUUCUUUCCAUGGUUUUCCUCAUGAAGAUCCCACUAGCCACCUGGAAACAUUUGUAGAUCUAGCCUCGACCAUUAAAUGCAAUGGAGUCUCUGAAGACUACUAUUUAUGCAAAUUAUUCACAUAUUCUCUUGCUGGGGAUGCAGCUGAUUGGUGAAGAAGCUACCACCAGGAUCUCUCAAUGCUUGGAAUGACAUUGCAAACGCUUUCGUCAACAAGAUUCUCUAUGAUGCUGCAGCAAGUCUAGAGAUUGAGAUGAGAUCUAUGAAAGAAUAUAUGGUGGAAGAUGAUGAACAACAUCUGUCUGGAGAGCUGAGCAGAAUAGAAGAAGUUGAUAUUAGUGACAUGAGCUCAGAACCGAUCGACACUCCGACCUCAUCAUCGAUCGACAUCCCAACCGUAACAUCGAUCGACCCCAGCCUUCAAACAUCGAUCGAUACAAACUCCUGUUGUCGAUCGAUACCACUCGAAAUCCCUGAAAAAUCGAGUUGUCCUCAGGACAUUGCAGACUCGACACUGAAGAGCAUCGAUGUAUCAAGUUGUUAUCCUGACCAAAAAGUAGAAAAAGAAAUCACCAUGGAAGAUUUCUUGGAACUAGAAGAAUUCUUGGAGUUAGAGGAUGGGCAACAGCUUGGUGAUUUGGAUUCGAGUGAAGAAGUAACUAUGGAAGACUUCUUGGAGCUGGAGGAAUGACUUGGAGAUUUAGACUAGAACCCGAAGCAGAAGUUUGAUGAUCAGCACACUUCGGGAAAAGAUCUGGAAAAUUCCUUAAAGGCUGACGACAUCGACCGACAUAAACCUGAUGAGAUCGAUCGACACCCACCCUACGACAUCGAUCUACAGUCGCCGUCUAACAUCGAUCAACAUAUACCCGACUGUAUCGCUCGAUACCCACCCGAUUGCAUCAAUCGACACCCAUGUUUGGAUGAACUAUCAGGAUACAUGAUUGAACCAUAACUGGUUGGAAGAAAAGAACACACGUCUGGAGCCUCACACCUUGCUGUCCCCGAAAAUCUAAGACCACCUAUAUGCGCAGAAGAAGCUGUUGGGAUUUGCAAAAGAGUGAAGAGGAUACAUGAUCUUGUGAAGAUUAUGGUUCCAUGUGCAGUGAUUGAAGCUGAAUCUCCUAUCCCACCAGAUAAAAGUAUGGAGUUAAGUCCUAUGGUGGAUUAUUUGAUGAUAAUAAGUACGUGUAGAAGCUUCUCAAAGAGGGCUGCGAUUUAGAGAUGAAGUAGAUAACUGCCCAGCAGAAGUACCAUCGAGCGACAUCAACAGAACAAAAUCGAUCGACACUAACACUUCAUCAUCGAUCGAUACCGAUCAGAUACCAUCGAUCGACACCAGACGCGAAUCAGAGCAGAAUGAGUAUGAAUUGUGUGGAAAUAUUUUUUAUGAAGAUACCACCACGCAUUCAGACAAGUCUGGGGGAAAAAGUGGAGGAACUGGAAGAAGAAAAAAAGAAUUAAUGAAGGUUCUCAGUUAUUAUUGAUUCCUCACUUCUCAGAUGAUACCAGGAAAUCCAGAGUGAGCUUACACAAGUCUGUGGGAAAGAAGGGGAGAAAUUGGAAAAAGCGGAAACGAACCAAAGGAGGUUUUCAAUUACCAUUGACUUCUUACUUCUCAGAUAGUGUCAGAAAACCCAGAGUACGCAGCAAAUGCUUUUCACAUCCAUAUGCAAAACUUAAAGCACUCCUUAUUGCUGAAAUGAUAGACAGAGGAGAAGGGUAUAUGGAGAAGGCUUUCACACAGGAAUGAUAAAGCUUCAAAGAGUAGACAUUGAGACUUGGUUUGGAGCAAGUUCUCAUUCUUAUCCGGACUUAAUCAGAUCACCAGAAGUCAAGCUAAUGACUAAAAAUAAGCGCUAAGUGGGAAGCAACCCACUGUUAGUGUUUUAUUUAUGUUAGGUACAAGGAAAAGAUCUGAGGAAGACGAAUCUCCAUAGAAAUCGACGAUGGCUAGCUAGCAUCGAUCGACAGAGCAUCAAGAGUAUCGAUCGCCACUUAACUGUGUUGCUCGACACUCAUAUCCAAGCAGGUAUACCUUUUUCCUUGUUAAAUAUUGUCCUUAUGAUUUAUUUUCCCACCAAUCUUAGACUAGAUAGCGCUAGUGAUAGUGUUAUUUAAGUCUGGGGGAGGUUAUAUUAAUAUUAGGUUUUAGUUAGAUGUUUAGAAUAGGGAUCCAAGUAAACGAUUGCCAUGAUAUCAACCGACGAGAACAAGUCGAUAUCGAUCGACAUUGCUACAUCUGCCACGACCGAUGACAACACGUUUACAUCGAUCGACAUCCAUUCUGGUCAGGUAUAUCGUUCUAACUUGUUAAAUUGAGUACUUAUGAUUUAUUUACACCAAUCUCCGACUGGAUAACACAUUAUAGUGUUAUCUAAGUCUGGGAAGGUUCUACUGAUAUUGUGUUUUAGUUAUGAAAAAAAAAAACAGAUCCGAGUAGACGAUUGCCCAGCAAAUCGACCGAAGACACCAGCUCGAUAUCGAUCGACAGCGCUUCAUAUCCAACAAUCGAUUGUCUCUUCAUUGUGUCGAAUGAUUGCUCUAGCCAUCGAUCGAUGAGGACCAUGUCAAUAUCAAUCGACAGCACUUCAUCAACAUCGAUCGAUUGUCUAUUCAUUGUGUCGAUCGACACUGAUGUCGAGCAGGUUAUCAUUCUUACUUAUUAUUAAUUUUGUACUUCUACUUUAUGAUUUUUACCUUACCACCGACUGUGUUACACUGGGGACAGUGUAAUUUAAGUCUGGGAAAAUACUAACGUUUAUCUACCUUUAUGAGUCUUAUUUAAAAUAUUUUCAAAAACUGUUUUUAUUGAGUCAAGAAGGGGAUAAUGAACUUAUCAGAUUCAUGCUUGUUAUCUAACCACUCUUUCGCACCAUUCUAGACUUACUGAUUGCAGAUAGUACUAAAGAUACUAAAGUGGAUCAACCUGUCAACUAUGUUCACACUUGCUGAGAUUGUUUGAAGGAACCGAAGCUGACCUCCAACCUAAUUUGACUUAACUGCUUGUCUUGGGGCUUGGUAUACACUGGAUCGGAUUCCUCCUUUAGGUCUGAAAGGUAAAAGUCUGAGUGAUUUUGGUUUCCUUAUCUCCUCCCUUGGCAUCCUAAUAAAAUAAAAUAAAAGAUUGAGAUGAUUUCUUGCGGUUUAGAGGGGUAGGUACAUUACCGAUGACCCCAUUAUUCUACUCUAAUAGAAUGAUCACACAUUGUUGGAAGCGAGGGGUAGGUACAUUACCGAUGACCCCACUAUUCGCCUACACUUUGUCAAGAAAAGGAAAAAGCAAAAAUAAUAAUAAAAAAAUAAUAAUAAUAAAAAAAAAUUGAAAAGAAGGUGAAUAAGAUGGACUGCAUCAGCAUCUUUGUUCAUUGGAAUUGAGAUAAAAAAGAUUCAGAGAAGGGAGAUAUAGAGUAAAAAAAACCAGAACAAGACUAUUGUUUACUCAGAUACCUGUUGGGGUAAGAGUCCAUGUGUCUUGUGAUCGAUAAAGCAUACACAUUUAUUUAUAUUAAGAAAUGAGGUUGGUAGAGGAGAAUAUCAGACAUGAUUUGCUAAGAUGUUGUGGCUAGGUGAAUUUGGUUGCUAAGCUAGGAUAUUGUAUAAUGUGCUUUUGUGAUUAGGACUUCUUAGAUGUGGAUUGCAAUAUUGUAGAGGUGAUGAUUCUAAGUUUUAAAUCAUGUGAGUCCUGCUGUUUUUAAAACCUCUUUCAGAGAGACUGCCCGUCUGUUUUGCUUGAGGACAAGCAAAAGGGUAAGUCUGAGGGAGUUGAUAGACCAUAUAUUUUACCCAUUUUUAAUCAUGGUCUAUAAGUGUUUUAAAGUGUUUUAAGAUACAAUUAUUAUGUUAUGGAGUCUAUUUAGAGUAUAUACAGGUUCAGGGACGUUUAGGAGAAAUAUGGUGAUUUUGGAGUCUUUUGGAGCCUUUGGAGGUGCGGAGUUGCACAGACGCGUCAGAUAUUUAGCUAUGGAUGGAGACCUUACGACCAUUAUAUUGAGCCCAUCUUUUGACACAAGAUAGAGCUUUGAGUUAGCUUUCCAAUGCCACGGUCUCAGGUCAAUCAUCAUCCUGUAGCAGAAGUUAUGCCCGUUUUACUGAAGAGUGGUCAGUCUGCCUCGCGAGAGAAAGCUGCCGGAAGAGAAAGCCGCGUCGAUCGAUGCAGCACUCUGCACGUCGAUCGAUGGAGAUCCUAGAUCGUGGGCCUUGUAUAUUUUAUGACUGCGUGAAGCCCUAGAAGCCACUGGGAUGAAGAAAUUAUCCCACUUUCAAAUCAGGUGAUUCCAGUUUCCCAGUUUGGGAAUAGGACAUCUUCUUCGUCGUCCCAAUCAAACCAGGAUGAAUCACUUUGUAAGAAGCUUCAUUUGGAUACAUAAAGUGGUGGAAAAUCACCAAGAAGUUGAAUAAAUCUCAUAGGAGUUGGGAGUAAGAAGUUAUCCCACUUUUAAAUCAGGGUGAUUCCUGUUUUUAAGUUUGGGAAUAGGAUAGCUUCUUUGUCGUUCCAAUGAAACCAGGAUGUCACUUUGUAAGACACUUGAUUUGGAUACAUAAAGUGUGGAGAAUCACUAGGAAGUUAAAUAAAUCUCAUAAGAGCUGGGAUGAAGAGAAAUUAUCCCACUUUCAAAUCAGGUGAUUCCAGUUUCCCAGUUUGGGAAUAGACAUCUUCUUCGUCGUUCCAAUCAAACCAGGAUGAAUCACUUUGUAAGAAGCUUCAUUUGGAUACAUAAAGUGGUGGAAAAUCACCAAGAAGUUGAAUAAAUCUCAUAGGAGUUGGGAGUAAGAAGUUAUCCCACUUUUAAAUCAGGUGAUUCCUGUUUUUAAGUUUGGGAAUAUGACAGCUUCUUCGUCGUUCCAAUGAAACCAGGAUGAAUCACUUUGUAAGAAGCUUGAUUUGGAUACAUAAAGUGUGGAGAAUCACCAGGAAGUUGAAUAAAUCUCAUAAGAGCUGGGAUGAAGAAUUAUCCCACUUUCAAAUCAGGUGAUUCCAGUUUUCCAGUUUGGGAAUAGGACAUCUUCUUCGUCGUUCCAAUCAAACCAGGAUGAAUCACGUUGUUCAUCGCGACACUGUUCAUCGCGACACUGUUUAUCACGACAUGUUCAUCCGAACACUGUUCAUCGAAACAAUAUUCAUCGCGGCACUGUUCCUCCAAUGACGAACACCACUUACGGAGAGACAGAGAAGGUCGAAGCGCUCAUACUUAAGAUCGACAAGAAAGGUAUUUGGCGAGGAAGAAGAAGGCCCCCUUGCAGGCCUCACAGGACAAUUGAUUAAUGCAGAGGGUUAGUGUAAUCCCUGAUGUAAUUGAUGUGGCUGAGACGAAAACCUUUAAUUUGACAAGUCAAUGGUAUGAUUGGGGAAGUGAGGAUCCAUUUUACGGUCUUCCUCAUGAGGAUCCCAAAGAUCUUAUCAAGAGACUUGAGGAGUUAACCUCAGAAACAAGCACGAUGAACUAUCUGCAGACCAAAUUAUCUGCAAGAUCUCCCCUAUUUUGUUAUCUUGAGAUGCUUUUAGCUGGUUCAGUUAAGCUGCAACCAAGAUCUCUAACCUGCUGGGAAGACAUCAAAGAAGCCUUCAUAGACAAUUUUUCAGCGAGGCUGUAGAAACUCGAAGUAANNNNNNNNNNNNNNNNNNNNNNNNNNNNNNNNNNNNNNNNNNNNNNNNNNNNNNNNNNNNNNNNNNNNNNNNNNNNNNNNNNNNNNNNNNNNNNNNNNNNCGAAGCUCGGUCGCUACGUAGCGACCGAGCACCUCGUUUCGCUCGGUCCGCUACAUAGCGACCGGGCUCGAGCCAAAGAUCGGUCGCUGUAUAGCGAUUGAACUUUCCGAACAUCGAUACGACACAGCCUUGCAUUCUCGUCAAACCUUCGAAUGCUAUCUCCCGAAGACCGUAGCAAGCUCAGUCUAUGUUUCCCGCUAUUCUAAUUCAUCGAUCAACUUCGCGAUUAGAAACCGUGGAAAACUCGUAGUAAACGUGUCGAGUCGGAAGACGGCCCAAAGGGACCUAAAACAAGACUCGAGGCCCAUCCUACGAUUUUUCCUAACCAAAAGCCCGUGAACCACAGCAUGGUUCGCGCUUGGCCCGCGAGGAAGGAUAAAUGUCAGUUUCCGCGGAUAAAUACGGAAGUUUUGAAGAUAAUUGUGAAGAUCGGGAAAAAUGGAUAUCUCCAUUUUUUAUGCUAUGGACGGCUUAAGGGCAGAAGAGUAAAAGCGUAAACCGACCUUGGAGCUAGUAAUAUAAGGAGUCCUAGGCGACGAGCAGAGGGGAGAACUUUUUGCAGAGCAAACUUAGCACUUAGAGCAAUUUAGGCAACUUUCCGUUUUUGUUAUUUUCGAGCUGCGACUCAAUUAGGUUUAGCCAUCUUAGGGUUGCUAGAACUAGGAAUCUCCGCCGAGCUCUCGGAGCCCAGGCUUAUACCUUGUGUAACGCUCAUACGCAGAUUCGGAAUAAGAUCUACUUUGCUCUCUUUUUUUCGAUUCUUAUUUUUAUCGUUGUUAUUCUCGGUGUUCUGAUUGCUUGACGUGUGGUAAUUAACAGAUAUCCGGGUCCUCUGGGAACUAGGGUUUUCUUAGUUUCCUUAUUUAAACGGAAAUCGACAGUGCGAAUUUCGGUUCCCACAAAGACCUGAGUAGAUACCCUCAUCUCGCCCUUUUCAUUAAGCCACUGCAGCCGGGAAGGUUUAGGAUGCUUUUGAGUUUUCAAUCAAACCAAGCUUCUUCACCAUGGUCUCGCUAGCAACAUUAACACAGCUUCCACCAUCGAUGAUCAGGCUGCAGACCUUUCCUUGCACCAGACAACGUGUGUAGAACAAGUUCUCUCUUUGUUCUUGCUCCUCAGUUUUGUUUUUGCAAACUGAGAGUUCUUCUUGCAACCAAAGUCUACCUUGUACUGGUUCCUCCUCAUACUCAGCUUCUGAUUGAUCAGUCCUUAGCUUCUCAUCUUCAGAUUCAAACUCUCCAUUCUCCAGAAGAAUCAUAACUCUCUUGUUAGUACACUCAUUAGCAUAGUGCCCACGCCCUUGGCACUUAAAACACUUCACAUCUCUUGCACGCGAGCUUGUAGCUUCCCCUUUACCCUUAUCUUUGUUGUAGAUGCUACUAGACUUAGAUUCUUCUUUUGGCUAUGGCUUGCUCUCCUUUUGAUAGCUUGGUUUAUCUUCCUUAGAGGUCUGGUAUCUACUGGAACCAUAGCUGCCACGCGCAUGACUUCUUCUCUUAACUUGCUGCUCCACCAAGAUAGCUUUGUGUAGCAUCUCCUCUAUCUCCAAGUAGUGUUGCAUCUCCACUCUGUCUUGUAUCUCACGGUUGAGUCCACCAAGAAAACGUGCCAUAGUAGCUUCACUGUCCUCAGAUACACAAGCUCUUAGCAUAAGCAACUCCAUCUCUUGAAAGUAUUCCUCUACAGACUUUGUUCCUUGUGUGAGCAGUCUCAGCUUUUGAUGAAGAUCACGGUGAUAAUGACUUGGUACAAACCUCUUGCGCAUCACAGCUUUCAUCUCUGCCCAUGUUUCAAUGGGGAAUUCACCAUUGCGCCUCUUGUUUGUAACCAACUGAUCCCACCAGCUCAAUGCAUAAUCAUUGAACUCGGUAGCAGCUACUUGAAUCUUCUUAGUCUCUGAGUAAUGCUGACAGUUGAAAACGAGUUCGAUCUUCUUCUCCCACUCAAGAUAGGCAUCUGGAUCAGCUUUACCAUGGAAAGGAGGGAUCUUAAGCUUCAAUCCUGAUAGCUCAUUGCGUCUAUGCCUUCGGCCCUCAUGAUCAUGUCGAGAUCUUCUACUGCUAUGUCUCGAACCGGAGCUAUGGCUACUUCUCUCAUAGAAGUUAUCAGUUUCUUCUGAUCCAGCAUGCUCACGCUGGCCUUGUCUGUUUCUUCUCUGCUCACGUCUCUGGCCAGAUGCUUGUCCUUGCCCAUCAUUCGGUCUCUGAUGAUAGCGUCGACACGGUCAAGGCGGACAUCGCAACAGCAACCGCCGAGUAAGAACACUCGCGGCAUGAAACAUAACUACGAGAUGGCUUGAUCCUCGAAAGGGGUACGUAGGCAGCUUGUCAAAAGACGAGUUCAGCUAUCCCCCUCUCUAAAAAGGGGGGGGGGGAGUGGGUGCGUAUACUCGUAUACUCCCACAAUCGCCAUUAUUGUAAUCGAGUUUUUAGAAACAAAAAAAUUUAUUUACAAUAUACACUGUCUUUUUAUCGAAAACGCUUACGCUUCAGUUUACGCUCGUCUGCGGCCUCAUCCGGCCCAAAAAUCGUAAAGAUUAUCACCUUUCAAACACGCAUAAUCCUCGAAAAUAACUGCGAGACGUCGCAAAAAGUUAAAAUUCGAGGACAAUGCUAAACAAAUUGUCCGAACGCGACCACCAAAAACCUUACACCCCGUUCGUCGAUUGGCCCCGACGAACACGCCAGCCGUCUUAAACAAACGCAAUCCGAUCACUCUUUUGAUCUUUAAAAACGUCCAGCACAAGGACAAAAGCGCGCUACAACAAAAAUCCGAAAUUUUGGUUUAGCACUUCCAGUUGAUUCUGAGAAGAUGCUCGAUUCGUACCAUACAAGUCAUAUAAGCCGAGAACAUAUCGCGGACUUUAAAUCGGUGCGAGUCAGGAAGAAAUCGCAACAGGAAAAACGAUAGCCGGCUAGUCACCGCACAAACCUUAACCGAAAGUAAACCUAGGUCUUGCCCUAAACCCAACGCUCUGGUCUCAAACAUCUCAAGGCAUGAUAUCUAAAAGAUACGAGAUCAUAAACCAUGCCUCUCCGUUCGUGUCUCAAUGUUCUCAGAAUCGUAAAGACAGAUAAAUUUUACCAAAAUCACGAACGAACCAACAGAUUGAACGUCUAAUUAGAACUACAUACGAGACGACAACUCGUAUUUACUUCAACCCUACUCAGGAAAAACUCGAAACGAAACAUUUAUCAUAUAAAUAAACCGCAUAAAGCGGCAAGGGAUUCAAAGCCACCAACGGCCAGUCCCCGAAAUACAAAUACGGUCAUCUUGACCUAAACGAAAUCCAAAUUGAAAGGGCCAUAUUCGGCCGAAAACAAGGAUAACUAAUCCAUCCCUCAUAAUCCAAAGUCAAAGUCCCCGGACAACGAAGCACCAAACGCAUCCGCAGGACGAUCCACUUCCUCGCCACCGCCGUGAAAAUCGAUCGGGACCUCCUCGGUAUCAGGAGAAACCGGGAGGGAAUCCCAGAACCCUUGAAUCCUCUCGUCGAUCGGAGGGAUAAGCGCCUCAGCGUGGGCACGGUCACUCAUCCCACUCUUCAUCAAGCUCAUUUCCUCUUCAAACACAUAGUCGUCGGCUUGCGUCCUCCAAAGACUUCCGACCGAACCACGGCACUCGCGAAAGUCGCCCACCGAGGUAAAGGCAUUCUUAAGAUUCCCGUACUCAACCUGGAACUGAGAUGCGCGAGUCUUCAUCACCUCGACGAUCUCUCUUUUGCCUUUCCUCUCCGAUCUGCGAACAGCCCGCGCAUGAUCACGAGUAAGCUGUGCCUCCCGCUCCAGCAUCUCGCCUUGCACGCGGGCGAGAUCCCGCUCCGCUUUCUCCGCCUUGAAACGGUAGACCAUGGCUUCUCUAUGACCCGCCUCGAUGGCCGAGCCCAGCAAGCUCAGGCCCUGCAAAAUCAAUAGGCGUGUUACAAAUCCAUACAUAGGAUAAUCACUUAAAAAUUCCCAAGAAAAAACUAACCCCAUUGAUGAUGCGAGAUCCUUCCGCAACGACUCUCGGCCUCGCCGAUUCUUUCGUAGGAGGAGGAGCAUCGAAACCCGAUGGCAGCCCAGCAAAGAAAUCAUCGAAGUCCGGAAUGGGGGCUUCGCUCGAACCGCUUCCGUCGCCGUAAGCAAGGUUCGGAUCCCAUCCUGGAAGCAUAGAGUCAUCCAUCGAAAACUCUAUGUCGCCGAGAUCGACGUCUUUUCCCUUCCAAGAGCUCGACUCCGGCGCGGCUGUCGGAGCUUCAACGGGACUCUGGCCGUCGGGUUCGGAGUCGCUUCCCGUAUCCGCGUCCAAAGCUGGACCAGGUUGCACAAAUUUCAGCGCCUUCCGAACCCUUCUCGGCGUGAAAGAAGUCCAGAAGAAGGGACCAUUCCUGAGAAGAUCCCUCACCGCGAUAAUAUCCUCAGGGAACGGAGCAAGAGGAUUGAUGAAGGGACGAUUGUUCGGCAACCUCCGGAACAGUGGAAUGCAACUCUCUUCGACGGACGCAGCGUCCAAACGAACAAAGAAAAAGAACUUCUUCCACGAGUUGAAGUUCGAAAUGAACUUCUUAACCACCGACAUAAAUUUCCGAGGGACAAACCUAUGCUUAUCCGUAUCCUUGACAAGUUGAAGCCUCAAAAGCGCUUCAUAAUGAUCGACGGAAAGGGAAAGGCCAUGCUCAUAGCUUAGGAUCAAGAUCCCAAUAAGGUGCUGAAUGGCAAGGGGUGUCAACUGACUUAUCGCGACUUCAAAACGGUCCAACACUCGGACGAGAAUUUCGGGUAUGGGGAACCAGAGGCGACAACGCACUAUGAACACCUCAUAACAAGUAAAGUAACCCUCCGGGGGGUUGUUAGCACAUUCCCCGCGGCAGGGAACCCGGAACUCCACAACAUCCGGGAUGCGGUAGAACGACCGCAUCGUCGCGAGAAACUCGUCAGUGGUCCUACUUGCAUCCUUUCCCUCGACUCCACGAUGGACCAGGACCGGGAAUGGCUUCUCCUUGGGAGGGAUCAACGAGCCGUAAUGAGCAACCCACCAUGCCUCGUUCUCGGCAGGAUGCACCGAGUGAGGCACGAACUCCGUCUUCGGAACGACGAGCUCUUCGUAAGGACUCGCGGACGAAGACCCUUUUUUCGCAAUCUUUUUCUUGCUCGACAUCUUUACACUUCUCUUAAGAGAAUAGAGGAAAAGGGUGGAGAGAAAGAUAGAAAGUUUUUGAAAGAUCUUAGAGAAAAACAAGAAAGUGAAAAAAUUAUGGAACAAGUUACCUCUCUUCUUAUAAGACAUGAGGAUUUACUAUUCAAGCUCGGACUUUCGCAUAUUAAUUCCAUCCAUCACGCCUAACUUGCCAAACAUGCCUAACCGCACGCUAGGAUCCCCCAUGCAUGAUCCUAACGGGCUGGGGGGCUAACUGUUGGGGUCAAAAACGGUUACGACGGAAUUACCACCCGAAAAUCCUCAGAGAUCGUAUUUCCGAAAGAGUUAGUAAAAGAAGGGAUGUAAUUUUCGUAAAAAUAACCUAUACGAGGUUAUUUCUACGAAGAAGUAUUCUUUGGGAUUCAAACCAAACGAUCGUCCCGCUCGGUCGCUACGUAGCGACCGAGCUCGUCCCGCUCGGUCGCUACGUAGCGACCGAGCGAUCGUCCCGCUCGGUCGCUACGUAGCGACCGAGCUCAGCCAAGCUCGGUCGCUACGUAGCGACCGAGCGAUCGUCCCGCUCGGUCGCUACGUAGCGACCGAGCUCGAGCCAAAGCUCGGUCGCUACGUAGCGACCGAGCGAUCGUCCCGCUCGGUCGCUACGUAGCGACCGAGCUCGAGCCAAAGCUCGGUCGCUACGUAGCGACCGAGCGAUCGUCCCGCUCGGUCGCUACGUAGCGACCGAGCUCAGCCAAGCUCGGUCGCUACGUAGCGACCGAGCGAUCGUCCCGCUCGGUCGCUACGUAGCGACCGAGCUCGAGCCAAAGCUCGGUCGCUACGUAGCGACCGAGCGAUAGUCCCGCUCGGUCGCUACGUAGCGACCGAGCUCAGCCAAGCUCGGUCGCUACGUAGCGACCGAGCGAUCGUCCCGCUCGGUCGCUACGUAGCGACCGAGCUCGAGCCAAAGCUCGGUCGCUACGUAGCGACCGAGCGAUCAUCCCGCUCGGUCGCUACGUAGCGACCGAGCGAUCGUCCCGCGGUCGCUACGUAGCGACCGAGCUUCGGUUUGAGCUCGGUCGCUACGUAGCGACCAAGCGAUCGUCCCGUUCGGUCGCUACGUAGCGACCGAGCACUCGUUUCGCUCGGUCGCUACAUAGCGACCGGGCUCGAGCCAAAGAUCGGUCGCUGUAUAGCGAUUGAACCUUUCCGAACAUCGAUACGACACCAGUCCUUGCAUUCUCGUCAAACCUUCGAAUGCUAUCUCCCGAAGACCGUAGCAAGCUCAGUCUAUGUUUCCCGCUAUUCUAAUUCAUCGAUCAAACUUCGCGGAUUAGAAACCGCGGAAAACUCGUAGUAAACGUGUCGAGUCGGAAGACGGCCCAAAGGGACCUAAAACACGACUCGAGGCCCAUCCUACGAUUUUUCCUAACCAAAAGCCCGUGAACCACAGCAUGGUUCGCGCUUGGCCCGCGAGGAAGGAUAAAUGUCAAGUUUCCGCGGAUAAAUACGGAAGUUUUGAAGAUAAUUGUGAAGAUCGGGAAAAAUGGAAUAUCUCCAUUUUUAUGCUAUGACGGCUUAAGGGCAGAAGAGUAAAAGCGUAAACCGACCUUGGAGCUAGUAUAUAAGGAGUCCUAGGCGAGGAGCAGAGGGGAGAACUUUUUGCAGAGCAAACUUAGCACUUAGAGCAAUUUAGGCAACUUUCCGUUUUUGUUAUUUCGAGCUGCGACUCAAUUAGGUUUAGCCAUCUUAGGGUUGCUAGAACUAGGAAUCUCGCCGAGCUCUCGAGCCCAGGCUUAUACCUUGUUGUAACGCUCAUACGCAGAUUCGGAAUAAGAUCUACUUUGCUCUCUUUUCGAUUUCUUAUUUUUAUCGUUGUUAUUCUCGUGUUCUGAUUGCUUGACGUGUGGUAAUUAACAGAUAUCCGGGUCCUCUGGGAAACUAGGGUUUUCUUAGUUUCCUUAUUUAAACGGAAAUUGACAGUGCGAAUUUCGGUUCCCACAGAGACCUGAGUAGAUACCCUCAUCUCGCCCUCUUCAUUAAGCCACUGCAGCCGGUAAGGUUUAGGAUGCUUUUGAGUUUUCAAACCAAGCUUCUUCACCAUGGUCUCGCUAGCAACAUUAACACAGCUUCCACCAUCGAUGAUCAGGCUGCAGACCUUUCCUUGCACCAGACAACGUGUGUAGAACAAGUUCUCUCUUUGUUCUUGCUCCUCAGUUUUGUUUUGCAAACUGAGAGUUCUUCUUGCAACCAAAAGUCUACCUUGUACUGGUUCCUCCUCAUACUCAGCUUCUGAUUGAUCAGUCCUUAGCUUCUCAUCUUCAGAUUCAAACUCUCCAUUCUCCAGAAGAAUCAUAACUCUCUUGUUAGUACACUCAUUAGCAUAGUGCCCACGCCCUUGGCACUUAAAACACUUCACAUCUCUUGCACGCGAGCUUGUAGCUUCCCCUUUACCCUUAUCUUUGUUGUAGAUGCUACUAGACUUAGAUUCUUCUUUUGGCUGUGGCUUGCUCUCCUUUUGAUAGCUUGGUUUAUCUUCCUUAGAGGUCUGGUAUCUACUGGAACCAUAGCUGCCACGCGCAUGACUUCUUCUCUUAACUUGCUGCUCCACCAAGAUAGCUUUGUGUAGCAUCUCCUCUAUCUCCAAGUAGUGUUGCAUCUCCACUCUGUCUUGUAUCUCACGGUUGAGUCCACCAAGAAAACGUGCCAUAGUAGCUUCACUGUCCUCAGAUACACAAGCUCUUAGCAUAAGCAACUCCAUCUCUUGAAAGUAUUCCUCUACAGACUUUGUUCCUUGUGUGAGCAGUCUCAGCUUUUGAUGAAGAUCACGGUGAUAAUGACUUGGUACAAACCUCUUGCGCAUCACAGCUUUCAUCUCUGCCCAUGUUUCAAUGGAGAAUUCACCAUUGCGCCUCUUGUUUGUAACCAACUGAUCCCACCAGCUCAAUGCAUAAUCAUUGAACUCGGUAGCAGCUACUUGAAUCUUCUUAGUCUCUGAGUAAUGCUGACAGUUGAAAACGAGUUCGAUCUUCUUCUCCCACUCAAGAUAGGCAUCUGGAUCAGCUUUACCAUGGAAAGGAGGGAUCUUAAGCUUCAAUCCUGAUAGCUCAUUGCGUCUAUGCCUUCGGCCCUCAUGAUCAUGUCGAGAUCUUCUACUGCUAUGUCUCGAACCGGAGCUAUGGCUACUUCUCUCAUAGAAGUUAUCAGUUUCUUCUGAUCCAGCAUGCUCACGCUGGCCUUGUCUGUUUCUUCUCUGCUCACGUCUCUGGCCAGAUGCUUGUCCUUGCCCAUCAUUCGGUCUCUGAUCAUACUUCUCUUCCAGCAACUUCACCAUUGCUUCCAUCACUUGUUUGGUGAUUGCUUCUUGCAACAACUUAUUCCUUCGCACAAAGGUUUCAUCAUCCUCCUCAGACCCCAUUGCUUCCUGAUACACGAAAAACUUGAACCAGUAAGUAGUUCAAAAGAAUUCAGAACUCAAGAUUCAAAUAAGGAAACAAAGUAUUCAAACAAAGCGGCAAAUGAAGAUACUUGAUCAACACGCGACGAUUUGAAUUCUAUCACUUUCGAAAUCGAAACAAUAACAGAUCAGAUUCAGCGGAUGAUGAAAUGAGAUAAUCAAAUCCUGAUCUAUGAUUCUAACAACAGAUCGAGUCACUCAAUUACAAGAAACUUUCGGAUCAAGCAAAACGAUAACGUAAUCGACAAGAAUGUGAAAGGUUUUUGUUUAAAACUUGAUCGAAAUUCUUAGAUCUAGCAAUAUGAGACACGAAACAAUCAGAUCUAGCAAUCCUAUCAAUGAUACUAAUCAGAUCGAGUGAGAAACAACACGCAAAACCCAAAUGAUCAAUGAUAUAACACGAUGAACACAAAUCUUAUGAAAUCGCAAAAGAGAAAUCGAAACUCCCCUUCCAGAGUGCUCUGAUACCACUUAAUGAGAUCCUAGGACCCUUCUCUGGAUGGUUUGGAUAGAUCCUUGCAUAAACGAAUCAAAGACUCAAGUUUAUCAAGGCUGUGGAUCGAAUGGUGACACAAGAGGCUGCGGAAAAGCUCCUUGAUACUCCUAGGCUUAGAUCGGAUAUGACACACCUUUCUAAAGCCCUUGGGCGUUGGAUAUUACACACCAACAGACUGGAUACUACUCACCAGACACUCUCUUAACUCGUGAAAGCAAGGAGAAGAAAACACAAGGUUUAAACAAAAGAUAACUUAGAUUAGAAUGAGGGUUUGUGAUACACUUAAAUAGAGAGAUCCUUGUACAUGCACAAGGUCUCGAAAACAUAAGAAAACAUAAAGGAAAAGGCUCCACACGGUUUCAAAGUCAUAACACAACACUUAGACUAAAACAUAAUAUAAGAUAGAUAAUGAAGUCGGUCCAAGAUGCCUUAGGCCGAGUUGCAUCCAAGAUACAUCAACUAGGAAUGUGUAAGUGAACUUGAUACCUCAUUAAAAACCUUGAUUAGAAAACCCAGUGGGACAAAACUAAUCAAGGGAAAAAGAGUAUACCAAGCCACUUGCCUAGAUGAUGAUCAGCUUGAUGGUAAGAUCACAUGAAUGGUGAUGAGUGUGUCUUGGUGGCUCAAGCUUCUACCAAGACAGUCUUCUUGCUCCUUAGAGAUCUUCAGUAUGUUUCCAACAGCUUCCUUGAGUCUCCUUGUCAUUGCACGAGUGAUAGGACCUGUGGGAAUGGCUAGGACAGCUUCCUCUUCAGCUAGUGUAUCUUCAGUCUCUCCUUCUUCAUCUUUAUCAACUAGCUGGUCCAUGAUCAUAUCAGAACUAAACAAUGAUUUAACCGGAUAGAUUAUCUUCGCUAGAUCUCGGAUCUCAACUGUCGUAUUUUAAUCUCGAGAGAGUGUCGAUCGAUGUGACUUGAUGUAGAUCGACCGAUACACCUUUGUAACAAUCGACCGACAGAACGAUAGUUGCGUCGAUCGAUGGUUAUUCUAGCGAGCUUUGCGAACGGGUUUAAUUUGUUCUUUAACCUUCUCAAACCAAUUGUCGUUGCGCCUGAGUCAGUUAGAUCACACAAGUGGGUUCAGGUAUUGAGGGGAAACGGUUAGUCGGACCCAAUUAAUCCUAAGAUCUAAAAUGAGGUGAUCAAUCUCAAUUUUAGCAUUAAGUUCACAAGCAAUAAAAGAACAAUCAAAACACCUUUUUAAUAGUCAUAUUAGCAGUACAUAAUUUCUACCAUGGUGAGAAACCUAAAUCUAACAAUUGGUUUACUCAAACAUAUUCAUGAGAGACAAAGUCAUGAUGGCAUGAAAUAAACUCAAAUGAAACAUAUAACACAAAUAGAUAGAGUAAUAGAAAUAAAGGAGUUCAAGAUCUUCUCUCUUUUGCAGUCUCAGAUCUAUAUCUCCAAUCCUAAGCUCUUCUAAUGGUAGCCAAAAUGCUCCUUCUACAAACUAGGUAUUUUGCAAGUGUCUGCCUAAAAUGAUAUAAAACCCUAGUACAUAUAGCCUGACAGGCGGCUAGGGGCUUAAGUUGCAAAUAAAAGAUUUUCUAUGAAAUGAAAUCUUUUAAUUCGAGAUCACACUCGUGUGACUAGGCAUCAAUCGAUGCACAUGUAUGUUUGUCAAUCGAUGGUAAGUGAUUCUGAUCGACCGAUGUUGCUCUUCAAGCGUCGAUGGAUUUUCCUUGUUUAAAAGCAUUCCAAAAUAUCCCAAAAGUAUACUUUCCUUCCAUCAGGUGAAUAAACCGUAAUUGCUUUGAAAAGACUCUAAAACAUGAUUAAUACAUCUUAAAACUCUUAUAUACCAUGUAUUAAAACGGGUGAAAAUCAUGGUAUAUCAACUUGUACCAGAGCGUCUUCCUGAGCGCGUCGAUGGCCACUUUGUCGCUUAUCCCGCUGACCGUGGACAUCACCAGCUUGAAUCGGCUGAUAAACCCGCGGAGGGGUUCGUCUUCCCUCUGGGAUAGACUCCAGAGAUCGACCUCGGAAGUUUCUCUAUCUAUGAACAUAGAGUAUUGUUUGAGGAUUUCCGACGCGAGGUGUCGGAAACUCCCGAUAGAGUUUCACUUAAGGCGUGGGAACCAUUCGAGGGCUGCUCUUUCCAGAUUCUCGACGAAUAGGCGGCAAUACCCGGCAUCUUUUUCGCCAUCCUUCAGUCUCGCUCUUCCCAUCGUAAUGUGGAAAGCCUGAAGGUGCGCCUUUGGAUCGGUUGUACCGUCAUACUUCGGUACUUUGAUCUUUCCCGGAUCGGAAACCCUCAUAUCUGAGAUGCGAGUGGUGAAGGGGGUCUUCCGAGCCCCUUCCAGCAGCCUGUCGAUCUCGGGGGCAGCGCUAGUGGCGUUUUGGAUUUGAGACUUUACAGCUCUUACUUAUGCCGCAGUCUUGGUGAUGUAGUCGCGAAGAUCGCGGAUAUCCGACGUCUUGUCAGUAAAUUUCCGAGCCUGUCGGUGUUUACUGCGAGUGAGCUCGGUUUGCUUUUCAGCCAGCUCUUCUUGUUUGUUCCAAUAGACGACUUCCUUCUUCCGUUAUUAGUUUGUCGAACGGAGAGCUUUCCCGAGCAGAUCGGCUUCUGGUCCUUCUUGGAUGUCUGUCGACAUCCUCAUCGGUGUCAUUGGAGACAUCGCUAGGAUCCAGGUCAAUGCGUUCGGCUUCAUUAUCCUCCGACUCCUUUGCGGGAGGCGGAGGACUUUUGGGGUUCCCCUUUUCGACGGGAGAUUUCUCGCUAGGGUUUUGUCCCGAAGGUCGUUCCCGCGCAACUCCAGAUCUAUCGAGUGGGGUAGCGAAGUCGAGUAUUUCCCGCGGACUUUAGUGGUUCCGCAGGGACGGAUUGCUCGAGUCCUUGCCGUUAAGGUUUCAACAUGUUUGGUUAAGGUGCUCACGAGCUUGUCCUGUUCUUCCGACCUUUUUUCAUAGGUGGCGAACAUCCUUUUAAACUCCUCGAGCGCCGCAGCGUUGGCCGCGGAUACGUCGGCUGCUGGAGUGUGGAGAUCAGUGCCGCUACCUCCGUUAAGAGGAGUCUGCACGUUAUCCGCAUCGUUAGUUGACAUGUCUGAUUGAGCGUGAUGUGGCUUUUGCGGGUUAGAUUGAUCCGUAACCCCCUCCUUCUAGCGCUAAACUGUGGGAACCGAAAUUCGCAUUGUCGAUUUCCGUUUAAAUAAGGAAACUAGGAAAACCCUAAUUUCCCAGAGGACCCGGAUAACUGCUAAUACCACACGUCAAGCAAUCAGAACACGAGAAUAACAACGAUAAAUUAUAAGAAAUCGAAAAGAGAGCAAAGUAGAUCUUAUUCCGAAUUUGCGCAUGAGCGUUUACAACAAGGUAUAAGCAUGGGCUGUCGAGAGCUGUCGGCGAAAUUCCUAGUUCUAGCAACCCUAAGAUGGCUAAACCUAAUUGAGUCGCAGCUCGAAAUAACAAAAACGGAAAGUUGCCUAAAUUGCUCUAAGUGCUAAGUUUUGCUCUGAAAAAGUCCCUCUACCAUGCCUCUCGCCUAGAACUCCUUAUAUACUUGCUCCAAGGUCAGUUUACGCUUUUGCUCUUCUGCCCUUAAGCCGUCAUAGCAUAAAAUGGAGAUAUUUUAUUUUUCCCGAUCUUUGUAAUUAUCCUCAAAAUUGUGUAUUUAUCCACGGAAAACUUGACAUUUAUCCUUCCUUGCGCGCCAAGCGUACAUCGUGCUACGGUUUACGGGCUUUUGGUUAAAAAAUCGUAGGGUAGGCCUCGAGUCGUGUUUUAGGUCCCUUUGGGCCGUCUUCCGGCUCGAAGCGUUUGAUGCGACUUCUUUCGAUAAAGAACGAACUUUACGCGGUUUCAAUCCGCAAAGUUUGAUCGAUGAUUUAGAAUAGCGGAAAACAUGAACCGAGUUUGCUACGGUCUUCGGGAGAUAGCAUCGAAGGUUGGACGAGAAAGCAUGGACUGGUGUCGUAUCGACGUUUCGGAAGAUCUCGGUCGCUACGUAGCGACCGAGCGGGGCGAGCGCUCGGUCGCUAUGAAACGACCGAGCUUGUCCGAGCUCGGUCGCUAGCUCGGUCGCUACGUAGCAACCGAGCAGGACAGACGCUCGGUCGCUACGUAGCGACCGAGCGGGAUGAACACUCAGUCGCUACGUAGCGACCGAGCGGAACGGACGUUAGCGACCGAGCUCGAGCCAAAGCUCGGUCGCUACGUAGCGACCGGACAGCAUGCAUGUGCAGUAAUUGCGCAAUGACCGAGCUUGGUUUGUCCGUGUUCCGAUUGUCAUACUCGAACUUAUCCGUACUUGGUUUGGAUAUGUUUCCGGUGGCUUAUGUUCGAGAUGAAACUUUAUCUCGAAAAGCUAUGUUUACGAAAAUCAUAUUUUUCUUUUACUAUCUUUUCAGAAAUAUGAUUUCCGAGGAUUUUCGGGUGUUAAUUCCGUCAUGACCGUUUUUGACCCCAACAGACGCCUAGCGAAAUAUGAAUACGAUGUGAUUUUUUGACCAGCCACAGCUAUAAAGUCACAGGUCCUGGCAGACUUUGUGGCCGAAUUCUCCCCUACCUUGCUCCCAGCUAUGAAAUAAGAAGUGCGCCUCCGGAGCGAAACAAAGGAAGAGGGAGAGGGGGUCCUGCAUGUCGAUGGAUCGAGCAACAUCAGAGGAGCCGGGGUAGGAAUAGUGCUUACCUCACCGACAGGGAAUACAGCCUCAAGGGUCGUGAGGUGCAACUUCAAAACGACCAACAACGAAAGCGAGUAAGAGGCAUUAAGCGCAUGGCUAACACUCGCCCAUCAAAUGGGGUCAGAAAAAAUCCAGAUCUUCGGUGACUCUUGAUAUCACUCAAAUUACCCUAAGGAGUGAAUUACUCUCUCAAAUAAGAAGUUCAGUUGUAGUACUUAGAGAUCAAAUCCACUGAGAGCUAAGGAACCUAAUAAAUCUAAUCAGAUUUGUUAAGCUCGGUUGUUUAAUGAUUUAAAUGCAAAGUUGCAGGUUUGUGAGCAAGUAAUUGCUCGAUUGAUUGAUUGGAAUUUUCAUAAGUAAAUGGAAAUAGCUAGACUUAGGGUUUUUAUUCAGGUAAUCAGGAUUAUAAUCCUACAGAUUCCUAAUAAGUUGUAUGUAUGAUAUUUGAUACAUCUUGGAUUUGACCCGUUUUCAUCCAUGGUAUAUAGGUGUUUUACUAUAUAUAUAUAUCUAUGUUUUCUACUUUUCUAGGUAUGUUUUCAGGUUCAGGUGCAUUUCGGAGUAAAUCUAUGACUUUGGAGCAUUUUGGAGCUUAAAGGACAUUUCACCCGAGCUGACCACGUAGAGGUCGACGAGAGGAAGAACAAUCGAUCAAUGCGCAUCAGUGCUAUCGAUCGAUGCGCAUCAGUGCUAUCGAUCGAUACCAGGAGAUGCCUCGACAGAUGAAGAUUAAUAUCGAUUGAUGUACACAAGUACCAUCGAUCGAUGUCGAGACACCAGACACGCGACAUUACUCGCGCAUAGGCCUGGCUAGAACCCGUCGAUCGAUGUCCUCAACUGACUAUCGAUCGACGUUGGCAAAGGUGUAUCGGUCGACGUCUUAAUAGACCAUCGAUCGACACUCUCUCGUUGUCGACAUACUAACCGUUGAGACACGAGAUUUAGUUUGUUAAACAGUGAAACAUGCGACAGCUGAUCACUGAGUUAAGCGAUUGAGCUCUAAUAUAUCAUGCAUGCAACAGUUAGGCAUCUAUAGGUAUUAUAAUCUCCAACACCUGAAUAGUGGCCCUGCAUCUAAUAUCAUUUCCAACCAAGUUACAUUUAUUAUUUACUCGCUUGUUACUAUUACUAUUUCAUUUAAACAUUUGCAACCUUUAGAAUUAAUAAAAACUAGAUUUAAUUGUUCCCUAGCUCCUUGUGGAUUCGAUCCCUAAGUACUACAUCUGAACCUCUUUUGAUGAGAGUAGCACUCCUUAGUGUAAUUUGAGUGGUAUCGACCAACUUCUCGAUGUGAGGCAGACGAAAGGGGUCCAUUGAACAGGACUUGUUGAGGUCUAUGAAAUCUAUGCAGACUCUCCACUUCUCGUUCUUCUUUUUGACUACGACCACAUUGGCUAGCCAUUCUGGGUACUGUACCUCGCGAAUGAACCCCGCGCCGAGCAGGCUUUUGACUUUGUCGUUCGGGGGCAAACUUCCUUAUCUUUUGUCUAACGGGUUGAUGUACGGGAUCCACAUGCAGCUUGUGCAUGAUUAUCCUCAAAUCGAUCCCAGGCAUGUCUGCGUGGGACCAAGCGAAGCAGUCGGAGUUAGACCGGAGGAAGUCUAUCAAUCUCCUCCUUAAUCCUUCGGUCAGCUUGGAGCCGACCUUGUGAUGUCGGGUCUAGUCCCAUUCGAUCAACGGCACGUCGUCCAUUUCUUCGACCUUCAGUUCCUCGGUGUGAUGAGCCAGAGGUUUGCUCUGUAAUUGCUAUAAGACCUUGGUCUUUCACUUCAAAGUAGUCUGGUAGUAGGAGCGGGAAUACUCUUGAUCCCCUCUGAUUGCUCUUAUGCCCCAGGGUGUAGGGAAUUUCACAAUCUGGUGAAGAGUCGAAGGGACGGCUCCCAUACCAUGCAUCCAGGGCCGUUCCAGGAUUAUGUUAUAGGCAACGAGAAGGAACUAGGUUGACAUGUUGAUCCCUUCAGCAUAUACCGGGAGGGUCACCUGAUAGACCAUGGAUUUGAUCCACUUUUACCCAUGGUUUAUAAGUGUUUUAACUACUAUUUAUUAUAUUCUAGAGUCUAUUUAGCAUUUUGUAGCAUUUUGGAGAUAUUUGGACUAAGGACCCGAGAUGACCAUCGAGCUCGACCUUCGGUCGACAUUGAAGAGGAAUAAUCGAUCAAUGUUCACAUCUUGACAUCGAUCGACAGCGAAGGGCGCAGAAAGCCCGUUUGGUCUCAUCCAGUUAGAGCCCAAGUCUUAGCCAAUGUACAAGAUUACCCCUAACGAGUUUUAGCCUAAUUAUAUAAGCUUUGGUAGUUUGGCCUCACGCCGGCUAGCGAGAACAUAAUCCGCGUCGCUCUUUCUCAAUGUCGAUUCCUGUCUCCACUCCUUCUUCGAGCUCUCCUAUUGAUCCAUGAGGGGCCUCACCAGGGAGAAUCUCAAAUCGCGAGAAUCAGAUCCUUAACCGCGAUUUGGAGAUGAAGCUCCAAUAUCCUUCGAUCCCAGUGUUGAUUCCAGCCGCGAAGGUUCCUUCGUACGCGGCGAGGUUCAAAUUGUCCCUGAGGAAUCUCCGUAAGAUCUCAGAUCCGUCGUUUUUAGAGAACGGGACGCCGGUAAUCCAAGCGCCGGAGUCUGAGCUUCUCAGAACCUCGGAACUCUGGAAAGACCAUGUGGUGGAACACUUCCAUGGUCGUCGUCCUUCUGCAUCAAAGAUUAUUACCGAUUUGAACCCAGUUUGGGGAAAGUUCGGUAGUAUUACUGUCAGAACGGUCUCUGAUACCUGUGACUUGAUUUACAUCCCCUCUGUGCAGACUAGAGAGUGGGUGUUGCAGGUUGGUUACUGGCAGGCUGAUAGGUGUUCCUUCUCGGUUUAUCCUUGGACAGCUGAUGGUAAUCUGGCCGCUCAGGAGUUGCUCUUUGCGCCGACGUGGGUAGUGCUGAAGAGCAUCCCUCCUCAGUUAUACUCUUUGGAUGGUAUCAGUGUAGUUGCUAGGGGUAUUGGAGAUCCACUUCACACUGAGAAGUCUCCUCUAGACCCCUACCAUUUCGGUGAUACUAAGGUCAAGGUGGAGACUGAUCUUUCAAAAACUCCCCCGGAGAUGGUAGAAGUUAGAGAUACACAAGGAAACUCGGUUAGAGUCAAUGUGGAGUGCCCUAGUCUCCCUCCUAAGUGUCUGAAUUGUGGAAAGUUUUGUCAUUUGAUGAACCGGUGUAACAAAGCUCCACGGUAGAGGCCGCUGACUCAGAAGAAAGAGAAGGUGAUCAGUGUUGUGAAGUCUGGCUCAGAGGUUUCAUUAGAAGGUGAGUAUCAGGAAGGGGAGAAAGAAGCAAUUGUAGUGAAGGAUGAGGUUGGCCAAGUCUAGGCCUCGCAAGAGGUCAAGGUCCAGAG
rnacentral:lncRNA from 1 species